rnacentral:rRNA from 1 species
UGGGGGAUAUUGCACAAUGGGCGAAAGCCUGAUGCAGCGACGCCGCGUGGGGGAUGAAGGCUUUCGGGUUGUAAACCUCUUUCGCUAUCGAACAAGGCCCGCUUAGGGUGGGUUGAGGGUAGGUGGAGAAGAAGCGCCGGCUAACUACGUGCCAGCAGCCGCGGUAAUACGUAGGGCGCGAGCGUUGUCCGGUAUUAUUGGGCGUAAAGGGCUUGUAGGCGGCUUGUUGCGCCUGCUGUGAAAACGCGGGGCUUAACUUCGCGCGUGCAGUGGGUACGGGCAGGCUUGAGUGUGGUAGGGGUGACUGGAAUUCCAGGUGUAGCAGUGGAAUGCGCAGAUAUCUGGAGGAACACCGAUGGCGAAGGCAGGUCACUGGGCCAUUACUGACGCUGAGGAACGAAAGCAUGGGUAGCGAACAGG